rnacentral:rRNA from 1 species
UUGCAUUCGAUGAAGAACGCAGCGAAAUGCGAUACGUAGUGUGAAUUGCAGAAUUCCGCGAAUCAUCGAGUCUUUGAACGCAAGUUGCGCCCGAGGCUUGUCCAAGGGCAUUUCCGCUAGAGCGUCACC